rnacentral:rRNA from 1 species
CCUUACCAGGGCUUGACAUCCCCUGACCGCGUAUGAAAGUACGUUUUCACCCUCGGGUGACAGGGAGACAGGUGGUGCAUGGUUGUCGUCAGCUCGUGUCGUGAGAUGUUGGGUUAAGUCCCGCAACGAGCGCAACCCCUACGUUUAGUUGCUAACGCGUGAAGGCGAGCACUCUAGACGAACUGCCGUUGACAAAACGGAGGAAGGUGGGAUGACGUCAAAUCAUCAUGCCCCUUAUGUUCUGGGCUACACACGUGCUACAAUGGCCGGUACAGACGGACGCAAAGCCGCGAGGUGGAGCAAAUCCUAAAAAGCCGGUCUCAGUUCGGAUUGCAGGCUGCAAUUCGCCUGCAUGAAGUCGGAAUCGCUAGUAAUCGCAGGUCAGCAUACUGCGGUGAAUACGUUCCCGGGCCUU